UCUUCUUCUUAUUCCUUUUUCUUUCUCUUCAGUGCUGCUCAUUCUUCAAAAAUGAUUAGAAAAAUCCUAAAUCUCCAAUUAUCUUCAUCGGUCUUCCUCCAAAUGUUUGUGAUCUGUGGCACCCUUUGAAGCUUUUUAGAUGGUGGUGGCUAUAAAGGCUUCAUUGAUCACUGGCCACAUUUUCUUUCGAUUCAAGGCUCGUAAUGCAAAUUGGUAGCAACGUUUAUGAGUAUCUUUCUUGAAACAAUCGGCUACGUAAUUAUUUAUGUUACACUUCAUGUAAUUGAUGCAAGAGAUAGCAUGGCUACUCGGUAUCCAAUCCCAUUGUUUGCAAGUACAUGUAUUCUCGCUCAUAUCAACCACAAACAUGUCAUCGUUUACUUCAACCUCAAAUGUGGAAGCAAAACCUAGACUUCAUUUUUUUU